GCCGGGUGUGGUGGCACAUGCCUGUAAUCCCAGCUACUCAGGAGGCUGAGGCAGGCGAAUUGCUUGAACCCGGGAGGCGGAGAGUGCAGUGAGCCGAGAUUGUGCCACUGCACUCCAGCAUGGGUAACAGAGUAAGACCCUGUCUCAA
rnacentral:SRP_RNA from 1 species